UGGAUUGGUCCUGGACCCUAUUGAUAAUAAUAUAAUAAUAAAACAUAUCUUUGCUAAAUUUAAAAUAUUUAUCAUAGCAUUUCCAAAUUAGCUGCAGAAAUCAUAAAAAAAAUAAAUUAAUAUUUAAAUGAAUUUUUAAAGUAUUUUUUUUUUCAUUCAAAAUACCUUGAAUAUGAGAAUAUUUUAUAGACAAGAAUAUAAAAUGUAUUUAGUGCAGAGGAUAUGGAAAUUAAAUAAUCUUGACCAGCUAACCAUCUGUGUUCAUUUGAUAACAUCAGUGGACACCAACUGUGAAUGUAGCACUUAACCUAAUCAUUUAAUUGCUUGUAUAAACAAUCAAUUACAUGGUUUCAAUGUUGAAUAUCAGGGAAAAUUCGGGCUGUUCUCUAAAGUAUGUAUGCAA
rnacentral:lncRNA from 1 species